rnacentral:lncRNA from 1 species
UCAAAAUAUCUUUUCUUAUGUUCUCCUAUGUUGCCUCAACUCAAGCAGGAAGCUCUCAAGCUUCUGAAACAUUGCUCCAACUUUAUAGAGAGGAAAAAUGAAACACGUGAUUGCUAGUCCCAAAUUGAUGGCAUGUAGGCUCUUUUCUUAUGUAUGAAGUAAACACUUACUAACAAUCAAACCUAGAAGAGUGACUGUAAUAGAUCUUAAAACUUGCUGACAAAGGUUUAGCAAAACAUUUUGAACACAGAGAAGAACACUUUCUUUUAUUUGUAAGAAAACCACAUAGGUUUAGUUAACUUAGAACCUGUUGACAUCAUCAUCGUCUUUUCGAUUCUCCUUUGCCUUUCGCGAACAUGCUUAUUACUUUCUCGAGUUUCUCAAAGGUACUAGCGCGCCGUGGGGUCCAAUCCACAAGUGCUUCACCAGCCACAGAGACAAGCCAAGCAGGCCAUCCUGCGGCCACUUGUUCUGCAACGCUAGGGUCUCUCUUUAGUUCCUCGUGUGGAGGAGUAGCAUCUUCGUCUUCAUCCGUAUCACCAAUCUCUGAAAUCUCCGGAUGCUUCUCAGAAUAUCUACUCGAAUUGAACUCAACUUUGGCGUCGUCUCUGUAACUCGACCUAUCUUCUUGCUCCUCUUUGCUUUGGCUAGAAUCAUCGAUCCUCGACGAAUUGAUCCUUGAAGAACGCUUCUCUGAUGAUUCCUUCCUUUGUUGAUGUUGAUGAUGGUGAUGGUGUCUCUUCAGAGACUUCUUCUUGGAGAUGAUGCAACCCAUGAGAGGAUCAGCUCUUCACUACAGAACACAACUUUAAUGUCCCGGCGAGACCCAGUUUCACCAUCAACUCAAAACCCAAAAACCCACAACACACUGUAGAAUAAUUACAGAGCAAAGAAACAAGAAUCUUAUGUAAAAGUUCGAAGAAAAAUACGAGAUAUAUCAAGAAAAAUCAAAACCCAGGAAGUGGAAUUCAAAGUUGGACCUUGGAGAGGAUUCAGAUGAUGAUUGAUGAUCGAUGUUUUAAAGACUUUAUAUGAAAUAGAGAGGAGGUGUAGGGAGAAAAAAAAAGGAAGGAUUGGAAUUUUUUCUUGGUUUCAGAUUGGUAUCAUUUGACCGAUGAAACACUGCAUUGACACAGAGACAGAGAGAUGUGUAUAAUAUAUAUAUAUAUACGUGUUUAAUCAUACAGUUAACACAGGCACCCUACGUCGACUGAUGAGAGACUUUUCUCUCUCUCUCUCUCUCACUUGUUUUCUUGUCUAAAUUAUAAAUUGCAUUUUUUCUUCUUUUAUGGACAUGAGUUAUAUGUAGCCAUAUUUGUUUUAUUGACUUUAUUUUUUUCCUUAGUUUAAUUGGUUUCUAUAUUUUACUCAUUUUAUUAAAUGAAAAUAUGAGUAUAUACAUGUUUUGCAAAAUCAAUUUUUAAAAGUUGAAAAAGUAUUUUAUGUUAUACUCAAUUUAUGGAUUUAAAGAUGUGAACAAAAUAAUUGUGAUUACAAGAAUGCAUAAAGACUCUUUCUGUAUAAUGAAAAUAAGAGUAAUAUUUUGUAGAUAUGUAAUUUAAAGAUAAAUUUUGCCAGAGAAAAAAAAUGUAUUUCGAUCAAAUCACCGUUGAUUAUAGGAGUUGAAUUACUGAAAGAAAUAAAUUAUUUAUAAACAUCAAACAUGAUUCAAAUAUAGUUUGACGGUAGGGUUGGGCAAAUAAAUCCAACCCAAAAAUUCGAACCGAACCUGAUCUGAGAAAAAUGAAUCUGAACCGAUCUGGAGCCGACAUAAAUACCGAAUGAAUCUUGUUUUAUGGUAUUUUGGGUUAUGGAUAUUAUCCGAACCGAGCUCAAACUUAAAUGGAUAUCCGAUAGAACCUGAGAGAUUCAAAAUUCCAAAAAGAAUUUGUACCAAACAUGAUCUUAAUUUCUAGUAUGUAUCCAAAAUACACUAUGAUAUUAUUGAACACUUAAAAUAAUUAUAUAUUACACGAAGGUUGAUAGUUGAAAGUGGCGAUUGAGGCUUGAAACUUUUAGAUUUUGGUUUUGUUUUCAUUGAAUAAUGUUUUUCAUUUUAUGAGAAUUUGUUUUUUUUUUUGUUUUAUGCUUUCAUUUAUUUGGGUUUUUUCUAUCAAUAACUAUGUUUACAUUUCGUUUGAUUUUGAAUGAACAAGUUUAAUGUUUUUUCUUAUUUUUUAAUCGAUUUUACUUAUGUUUUGGUUACAAAAUAGGUACAAAUCAAGUACUUUAAAACCGAAGAAUCGAUCUUACUUAUGUUUUGGUUACCAAGUAGGUAUAAAUCAAGUACUUUUAAACCAAAGAACCGAUUAGAACUCAAACGCCAAAGUACAUCGGGUUGUACCGGUUCUUUGAAAAUUUACUAACCCCGACCCAAACCCGAUAAACCCCGAAUCGGUCCCAAACCGAACUUUCAUAUAAUCCGAGUAUGACUGAUUUUGAUAAACCCAAAAACCGAAACUUGAUUGGACAAAACUGAAACCCGAUUGGAACCCCGAGUGUCCAUACCUAGUUGAAAUGAAAUUGAAAAGUAAUUUCAAUAAUUGAUUAAUCUCUAUAUUUUAUAUAGAUAUUACUUCUAAGGAUUUAAUAAAGGCCCUAUAAUUAUUACUUUCAAUUAUUAUUUAAAAAUACAAUCAAAAUUUAAUUUUUUUGAACAAACAAACUAAUGUUAUUUUUUUUUUUUGAAAUUUCUUUAAAAAAAUUAAAAUAGUGUAUAUUUACACAGUUUUAUUACACUUUCUCAACUGAAACUAGAUAUUAUAUACUCCCUCCGUUCCUUAAUGAUAUAUUUUUUAGAAAAAAAAUAUAUCGAAAAAAUGUAUUUUUUAUGUUUUUUAUGAAAAAAAAUAUAAACUUCAAGAAAUUAAUUAACUUUAUUGAAUUACUAUUGGUUAAAAGUUAUUAAAAAUUGAAAAUUGAAAAUUAAAGAAAAUUGUACAUUUAUUAUGGUAGUUUAAUAUGUGCGAAAAUAUUAAAAAAUCUAUGUCUGUGGAACCGAGGAGAAGUAUGUUACUAAAAAUAAGAUCCAUAAAUAUCAUAUUUAGAGUUGGUUAUGGGGCAGAUGCACUGACCCUACUUUAAAGUUUAAAUCAAUACCGCUAAGGCGCUUAAGAGUGUUUUCAACAAAUUGUUAUCUUUAAAGAAUUUUUUACUUUUAGUAGAUUUUAUCCUUUCAAAUUUUAGAGGUGCAUUAUUGGUUUCCUCAAAACACUAUAUAUUUUUUUUGUUUUAGUUUUUACAAUUAUAUAUGUUUAACAAAUGUAUGAUUAAUAUUUUCUAUACCAUAUUUUAGUACUUAUUGUUAUAUUUUUAUAAAAUUUUAACUGAAAAUUGAUAUUUAUUCAUUUUUGUAUUACAGUUACUAAGUUUUAUAAAUAAAUAAAAACAUUACUCAAAAAUAUUUAUACGUAAAUAUAAUCAUGAUUAUUUAAACAUGACUGUAAGUAUUACAAAAAUGAAUAAAUAUCAAUUUUCAGUUAAAAUUUUAUAAAAAUAUAACAAUAAGUACUAAAAUAUGGUAUAGAAAAUAUUAAUUUAACAAAAAAAAACAAACUAUAAUAUUAUUAAAUAAAUUUAUGAGCGAUCGAAUACCAUACUCUCUACCUCUUGUUUUAAGAGUGAUCGUCCUUUCACAUGAGAAUGCUCGUUGGAGAUCUGACUGUUCGUCCCUUGGCUACGAAACGAAUGGCAUUUAUACCAUGGCUUUGAUCCCAACAUCAAAUAUCAAUAUUCUAUAUUCAUAAUCGUCUUUUAUAUUUCUCUCAUCUUUAUUAAUGUUUUGGCAUACCUUCUUCUUUGUUGGUCUUGUCAGCCUUGAUUCACUCCUCUAAAAAAAUAGGUUUAGGAACUAAUGAUUAUCAGCACCAUUUGCCAGAUUAUACUGUUAGGCAGAGGCUAUUUUCAGUUAUCCUUAUCCUGUAUAUUCGACAAGCUUGUUGUUUUUGUAACUCAAAUUUGGGAUAUGAUGUUCUAUCUGUUUAGUUUUUUUACAAAUUCAAUAGCAAUUUUGAAAAUAUUCAAGAACACAAAUGUUGUUAAGUAACACUUCUAUGGUUGUUUAUAUUUAUGAUUACAUCUAUUUUCAUGUUCCGUGGGAAACAUCAAAUAACAACUGUGAUUAUCUUUUCGAUAGAAAGCUAUUACUUAAUACCCAAUGAAGCUUGUUUUAUUGAUGUCUAUAUUUUCUUCAACAUUUUGUAAAAAGGUGACAAUGAUAUGUAAUGAAGUUUUAGUCGGAAAAGGAGGUUUUCUACUAAAAAGAGACGAACGAUAUCCAGAACGAUUAGUUUUUCAUUAGAUAUUGAAAAUAUAAGACACUUUUCAUGACUUUUUAAUCUAAGAUGCAAUGUUUAUAUGGCACAAUUUGUGACGAAUAGUCGGAUAUUGGUGCCGCUACUAUUCAGCAGAUUUAAACCUGGGGGAGAUCACGUGAGGAAUAUGUUAUGAAUAUAGAAAUGUACUUCUUAGAAAAAAAGGAAAUACUCAAACUGCAAGAAAAAUGAAAAAUACAAACUUAGACAAACUAGGUAACAUCAUUUUCGUAAGAACUAUUUUUCAAACUAGUGACUUUUUCAUACCAUCAUAUUCAAAAAAUGGAGAAUAAAAUUAAGGAACUAUAAUACAAAUGCUUUGUAUCAUGAAUUCAUGUAUAAUAUGUUUGUAAUAAUGUCCUUGGUUUAUUUUUAAAAAAUGUCCUUGGUUGACUUUGACAUUUUGUGUGUUUGAUUUUUACGUUGAAAAAAAGAGAGAGACAACAACGCGAAAGAAACUCAGAAGCCUUAAUAAUUUACGAAAAUACCAAUCAUAACUCAAUUGAUUAUUUAUCAUCUUGAACUUAAAAAAUAACCAUUUAAUUUUAUGAUAUCUUGAUUUAUUUUAGUUUGACGGUCCAUUGAUAACAGUAUGCUUCAUGCCUUCAACGAUGCUUGCUCAUGCUCUUGUUGUUGUACAUCAGAGUUGACUAUUACCGAUUUUAAUACUUCCAUACAUUGUUUGUUGGUUUCAUCUUGAUUUACCAGAUGUGUUUUUACAUGCGCAUAUGCAUCAGAUCAAAGUGCAUCAUAUAGAUGUUAAAAAGAAGAAGAUAAGAUUCACUAAGCUCGCUGAUAAUAUCUAAAUAUUGUUAAGACAAACUUUCUCCGUGAACUAAUUCAUAAGAAUGAAUUGUCCACAGGUUUAACAAGUCCAAAACACAAACGACAGCCGAAGAAGAAGGCAAAUACUUGGUAGAAGGAAGCUAUUGUUUCCUUCCAAGAACUUAGGUAGGAGGAGGAUACCAUAAAAACUCUUAACUUUCUUUCACAACUCUAUGUUGUCUUAGUUUAACAUUUCUGCAACUAACACAUCCAUUACCAACAUGUUUUAAAUAAAGGACUUUGGUCCAUGAAUCAUAUUGGCAACGUGUUUCAAUUUCAGUCUUUAAAAAUUAUACGAGUUGUUGUUUUUGUUUUGCACACCAUCAUUGACUCCUUCCUUUUUUUUUUCUAUAUAUCAGCCCAUGUAUACAAAUGCAAGAGAACUUUGUUUGUGAUAGAAAGUUUUUGUAGAAUGAAAAAACUAAUGGGUUUCUUCUCAAAUAUCUUUAGCUGCUUCACAAAGAAAUCUGGAUCUCGAGAUUACAUCUGCGACGGUGGUGUUUGUGUUCUACGAAGCUCCAACAAUCCGACACUUGAAAUGGGUUAAUAAUACAUCUCUACUAUCUCAGUUCUUGAAACUUGUUUGUAAUCUGUCUACUUUGUAUUUUAUUAUUUUUGUUUCCAAAAUGAAAAUCGAAUGAUAUCUUAAUUAUAAGGAUUUUGGUCAUUUGGCACAUAUCUGUUGUCGAAUAUGGUCUGAAAAUAUCAUGAAGUUACUUUUUUUUUUUUUUUUGAAACACUAAAAGGCCUAAUCGUGAAGUUAUUUAUAAUGUUUAUUUGAUCAUAUACAAUUUUGUUUAUUUUAGGUGAAAUGUUAAAUACGUAUUGGUAGAUUUGAUCAUAUAUUGUUCCUUUUUUCCUUUUUUAAAUAAGUAAACCUGUAAGUUAUUUUUGUGAACUGGAAGGACUGAAUUCAAACUGGAAACGGUUGAACCGACGUCAUUUAUUGUCUUGGUCCAAGAAGCCGCCGCGAAACAUGUUGAAUCUUGAACAAAACAGCUUCCGUUUGUGACUCGCUAGUCUCUUUGUUAAGGUUUCUUUGUUAGGGGAUGUUCAUUUGCUCAUCUUUCUAAAUGAUCUAUUCAGAUGUUAAUUGGAAGUGUUCGUUUGUCCUUCUAUAGUUCAUCUAGAUGAGUAUUCUAAAUGAAUUUCUCUUCGUUUUAUCAUCUAAUUAUCUUAUAUUAUCCGGAUAAAUUUAAUAAACAAAAGGUAUACACAUAACCUUCGCAUACAAAUUAAUUAAAGCCUGCCUCUUUAUUACUACAUCAAAAUAUCUUUUCUUAUGUUCUCCUAUGUUGCCUCAACUCAAGCAGGAAGCUCUCAAGCUUCUGAAACAUUGCUCCGACUUUAUAGAGAGGAAAAAGAAAACACGUGAUUGCUAGUCCCAAAUCGAGCAAACCAGAGUUUUACAGAACCGAUGGCAUGUAAGCUCUUUUCUUAUGUAUGAAGUAAACACUUACUAACAAUCAAACCUAGAAGAGUGACUGUAAUAGAUCUUAAAACUUGCUGACAAAGGUUUAGCAAAACAUUUUGAACACAGAGAAGAACACUUUCUUUUAUUUGUAAGAAAACCACAUAGGUUUAGUUAACUUAGAACCUGUUGACAUCAUCAUCGUCUUUUCGAUUCUCCUUUGCCUUUCGCGAUAAAUCUUUCAAGCCCUUAUCAACAU